rnacentral:rRNA from 1 species
GUGAGGAAUUUUCCGCAAUGGGCGAAAGCCUGACGGAGCAAUGCUGCGUGAAGGAUGAAGGCCUAUGGGUUGUAAACUUCUUUUCUCAGAAAAGAAUUAUGACGGUAUCUGAGGAAUAAGCAUCGGCUAACUCUGUGCCAGCAGCCGCGGUAAGACAGAGGAUGCAAGCGUUAUCCGGAAUGAUUGGGCGUAAAGCGUCUGUAGGUUGUUUAAAAAGUAUUCUGUCAAAGAUUAGGGCUUAACCCUAGAUAGGCAGAAUAAACUUUUAAGCUAGAGUUUGGUAGAGGCAGAGGGAAUUCCCGGUGGAGCGGUGAAAUGCGUAGAUAUCGGGAGGAACACCAAAGGCGAAGGCACUCUGCUGGGCCAAUACUAACACUGAGAGACGAAAGCGAGGGGAGCAAAUGGGAUUAGAAACCCCGGUAGUCC